rnacentral:rRNA from 1 species
AGAGAGUGCAAGCGUUGAUCGGAAUUACUGGGCGUAAAGCGCGCGUAGGUGGGUGCUUAAGUCGGAUGUGAAAGCCCUGGGCUCAACCCAGGAACUGCAUUCGAUACUGGGCACCUAGAGUAUAGUAGAGGGAAGUGGAAUUUCCGGUGUAGCGGUGAAAUGCGUAGAUAUCGGAAGGAACACCAGUGGCGAAGGCGGCUUCCUGGACUAAUACUGACACUGAGGUGCGAAAGCGUGGGGGAGCAAACAGGAUUAGAGACCCUGGUAGCCCACGCUGUCAACGAUGAGAACUAGAUGUUGGGGAGUAUAUCUCUUUAGUAUCGAAGCUAACGCGUUAAGUUCUCCGCCUGGGAGUACGGCCGCAAGGUUA